rnacentral:rRNA from 1 species
GAUGAACGCUAGCGAUAGGCUUAACACAUGCAAGUCGAGGGGCAUCACAUGAGUAGCAAUACGAUGGUGGCGACCGGCGCACGGGUGAGUAACACGUAUGCAACCUACCCAUAACUGGGGGAUAACCCGUCGAAAGGCGGACUAAUACCGCAUAACACUGUUUUUUUGCAUGAGAAGACAGUUAAAGAAAUUCGGUUAUGGAUGGGCAUGCGUUCCAUUAGGUAGUUGGUAAGGUAACGGCUUACCAAGCCUACGAUGGAUAGGGGUUCUGAGAGGAAGGUCCCCCACACUGGUACUGAGACACGGACCAGACUCCUACGGGAGGCAGCAGUGAGGAAUAUUGGUCAAUGGGCGGGAGCCUGAACCAGCCAAAUCGCGUGAAGGAUGAAGGUAUUAUGUAUUGUAAACUUCUUUUGUCAGGGAAUAAAGUGCAUCACGUGUGGUGUUUUGUAUGUACCUGAAGAAUAAGGAUCGGCUAACUCCGUGCCAGCCGCCGCUGUAACAC